rnacentral:rRNA from 1 species
GUUUGGACAAUGGGCGCAAGCCUGAUCCAGCAAUGCCGCGUGAGUGAAGAAGGCCUUCGGGUUGUAAAGCUCUUUUGUCAGGGAAGAAACGGUGAGCUCUAAUACAGUUUGCUAAUGACGGUACCUGAAGAAUAAGCACCGGCUAACUACGUGCCAGCAGCCGCGGUAAUACGUAGGGUGCAAGCGUUAAUCGGAAUUACUGGGCGUAAAGCGUGCGCAGGCGGUUAUGUAAGUCAGAUGUGAAAUCCCCGGGCUCAACCUGGGAAUGGCAUUUGAGACUGCAUGGCUAGAGUGUGUCAGAGGGGGGUAGAAUUCCACGUGUAGCAGUGAAAAGCGUAGAGAUGUGGAGGAAUACCGAUGGCGAAGGCAGCCCCCUGGGAUAACACUGACGCUCAUGCACGAA